CCGAGAUCACCUAGCUGAAGGAAAAGCCGAGAGCACCUAGGUGAAGGAGAAGCCGAGAGCACCUAGGUGAAGGAGAAGCCGAGAGCACCUAGCUGAAGGAGAAGCCGAGAGCUCUUAGCCGAAGGAGAAGCCGAGAGCACUUAGCCGAAAGAGAAGCCGAGAGCAUCUACCUUGAGGAGAAGUCUAGAGCACCCAAUGUGAGAAGAGACCGAGAGAGUCCAGCCCAAAGUUCGGAAGAUUUGUAUAAGAGUUAAUCUUGUCAACCUAAUUUUAGUGUUCUUGGUCCUUGUUGUAAGAACAU
rnacentral:lncRNA from 1 species